GACGAACGCUGGCGGCGUGCUUAACACAUGCAAGUCGAACGGAGUGGCGAACGGGUGAGUAACACGUGGGUGACCUGCCCUGCACUUCGGGAUAAGCCUGGGAAACUGGGUCUAAUACCGGAUAGUGUGGGAUGGGGGCGCGGCCUAUCAGCUUGUUGGUGGGGUAAUGGCCUACCAAGGCGGCGACGGGUAGCCGGCCUGAGAGGGUGGACGGCCACAGUGGUACUGGGGCAGGGGCCAGAGGGAUACGGGGGGCAGCGGUGGGGGAUAGUGCACGAUGGGCGGAAGCAGGGUGGAGGGACUCCGCGUGGGAGAGGACUGCUUUCGGGGUGGAAACGCCUUUCACCAUCGACGCGGUAGAUGAAGAAGAAGCACCGGCUAACUACGUGCCAGCAGCCGCGGUAAUAC
rnacentral:rRNA from 1 species